rnacentral:rRNA from 1 species
UACGUAGGGCGCAAGCGUUAUCCGGAAUUAUUGGGCGUAAAGAGCUCGUAGGCGGUGUGUCGCGUCGUGCCGUGAAACGCCACUGGCUUAACUGUGGGCUGCGGUGAUACGGGCAUCACUGGAGUUCGGCAGGGGAGACUGGAAUUCCUGGUGUAGCGGUGAAAUGCGCAGAUAUCAGGAGGAACACCGGUGGCGGAAGGCGGGUCUCUGGGCCGAUACUGACGCUGAGGAGCGAAAGCGUGGGGAGCGAACAGG